rnacentral:rRNA from 1 species
UACGUAGGGUGCAAGCGUUAUCCGGAAUUAUUGGGCGUAAAGAGCUCGUAGGCGGUUUGUCGCGUCUGCUGUGAAAACCGGAGGCUCAACCUCCGGCCGGCAGUGGGUACGGGCAAACUAGAGUGCGGUAGGGGAGAUUGGAAUUCCUGGUGUAGCGGUGGAAUGCGCAGAUAUCAGGAGGAACACCGAUGGCGAAGGCAGAUCUCUGGGCCGUAACUGACGCUGAGGAGCGAAAGCGUGGGGAGCGAACAGG